AGAGGUCCCGCCUGCCCAGUGACUAUAUGUUCAACGGCCGCGGUAUUUUGACCGUGCAAAGGUAGCGCAAUCACUUGUCUCUUAAAUGGAGACCUGUAUGAAUGGCACCACGAGGGCUUAGCUGUCUCCUUUUUCCAGCCAAUGAAAUUGAUCUUCCCGUGCAGAAGCGGGAAUACCUACAUAAGACGAGAAGACCCUAUGGAGCUUUAGACACUAAGAGAGACCAUGUUAAACACCCCGGAACAACGGGCCAAACUGAGUGGACCCUAUCCUAAUGUCUUUGGUUGGGGCGACCCUGGGGAAAUAAAUAACCCCCAUGUGGAAUGGAAACACCACAUUUCCAAAACCAAGAGCUAACCGCUCUAAGGAACAGAAUUUCUGACCAUUUUAGAUCCGGCAACGCCGAUCAGCGGACCGAGUUACCCUAGGGAUAACAGCGCAAUCCUCUUUUAGAGCCCAUAUCGACAAGGGGGUUUACGACCUCGAUGUUGGAUCAGGACAUCCUAAUGGUGCAGCCGCUAUAAGGGUCGUUGUUCAACGAUAAAG
rnacentral:rRNA from 1 species